AUACAAGCCAUUACUGUUGUUUC
rnacentral:siRNA from 1 species